AGCGAACGCUGGCGGCAGGCCUAACACAUGCAAGUCGAGCGGCCGUAGCAAUACGGCAGCGGCAGACGGGAUAGUAACACGUGGGAACGCGCCCUUCGGUUCGGAAUAACUCAGGGAAACUUGAGCUAAUACCGGAUACGCCUUACGGGAAAGGAUUAUUGCCGAAGGAACGGCCCGCGUCCGAUUAGCUAGUUGGUGAGGUAAUGGCUCACCAAGGCAACGAUCGGUAGCUGGUCNGAGAGGAUGACCAGCAUCACUGGGACUGAGACACGGCCAGACUCCUACGGGAGGCAGCAGUGGGAAUAUUGGACAAUGGGCGCAAGCCUGAUCCAGCCAUGCCGCGUGGAUGAUGAAGGCCUUAGGGUUGUAAAGU
rnacentral:rRNA from 1 species